rfam:Ictidomys tridecemlineatus contig052644, whole genome shotgun sequence.
GAUAUAGCUCAGUGGCACAGCACUGACCUAGUAAGUUUGAGACCCUGGGUUCAAUACCCAGGUAUCA